CAUCCCCUCCUUCGGUCUCCGCCCGUCCGUCCGCUCCUUCAACGCCCUCCUGAACGCUAUGGUCCAGAAUCGCCGGCUCGACCUCGUCGCCCUCCUCUUCCGCAACUGUCGCUCUAAGUUUGGGAUCAUCCCCAACGUCUGCACCUGCAACAUCCUCCUCAAGGCCCUCUGCAAGCUUGGCGAUGUACGCCGCGCCCUCCGCGUCCUUGAUGACAUGCCCGGAUGGGGCAUUGUCCCCAACGUUGUCUCCUACACCACAAUUCUCGCCUUCUACUGUGUCAAGGGCGACCUGCCCGCCGCCCGGGAGCUCUUUGAUCGGAUAAUUGCCCGUGGCUGGACCCCAGAUGUCACCACGUACACUGUCCUCAUCGACGGAUACUGCCGCCAGGGCCGCCUCGUCGAUGCCACCAAAUUGAUGGAUGAGAUGGAGGCUGCAGGUAUCACCUCAAACGACAUCACCUAUUCUGUUGUGAUCGAGGCAUGCUGCAAGGAUAAAAGGUCAGGAGAAGCAUUGAAUUUACUCGAUGACAUGCUGCAAGGGAAGUACAUACCAAGCUCAUCAUUGUGCUGUAAGGUGAUUGACACAUUGUGCGAGGAUGGAAAGGUGGAAGAUGCUUGUUGGAUGUGGAGGAAGCUUUUGAAGAAGAACGUCACUCCUGAUAAUUCCAUCUCCAGCACACUCAUUUAUUGGCUAUGCAAGGAAGGGAAGGUCUUGGAGGCAAGGAAGCUAUUCGACGAGUUUGAGAGGCGGUUUAUCCCGAGCUUACUGACGUAUAACACUCUCAUUUCUGGAAUGUGUGAGAACGGGGAGCUGCAGGAGGCAGGGAGGUUAUGGGAUGACAUGGUCGAGAGGAGAUGUUCACCUAAUGUGUUCACCUACAACAUGCUUAUAAAAGGGUUUUGCAAAGCACGGAACGUAAGGGAGGGGGUUAGGAUCUUGGAUGAAAUGUUGGAGAAAGGAUGCCUGCCAAAUAAGUCCACAUUUGGAAUGUUGGUUGAUGGACUUCCUGAUUCUGGUGAUGAGGAAGAACUUGAUAGGAUUCUUCAAAUUGUCGAUUCAAGUAGAAGAAAUGUUUUUGAUGAGGAUGUUUGGGAUAUAUUUGUAAGGAAAGUUGUCACUGGUUCUGAGAAUGUCAGAGAGCAUAUUUCUGCAGUACUGAAGACAUAAUCAUUGAAUCGGGCCGUUAUCUUUUCUUUGAAAAGCUUUAGGUGGCAUUCUAUUUUGUGGCCAAACAUGAGGAAAUGUUUCAGUUGGUAACACAAAUUUGAUGUAGAAAGGGGUAUCUGAAGACAUUAGAUCAUGGCAGUAUGCUAGAUUUCUUCAUAAUCUGUCAAUUCGAGUCAACAAUAGUCAUGAAAGAUCCCAUGAGGAGCCAUCUUCUGGAAUGGUACCCAUCACUGUGGAGAUUUCUUCCCAGCAGACAUUCGAUCGGACCAUGAUCAAGAGGUGAUUCAUGGAUGGGAAUAUGACUUGCCUCUGACCUUGACCAUUCUCAAUAUUGGGUUCUUUCAGCCUAACAUCAUGUUUAAGAAGUUCAUUUAGUGGAAAGAGUGGAAAUACAUCAUAAAUACCUCUUCAAUAAAAUCUUUGGUUUGGGCUAUUAGGAGUUGCUAAGUAGCUUGUCCCAGCUGCAGGAGCUCUGUGAGGAGAAAUAUGGUGAUGGAGGAUUACUUGUUGCUUGGAAGUACUAGUUCAGACAUAAGGGAACAUGACUUGUGGCUUCUUCAAUUAUUGGCAAAAGAUAGUGAUGACAACAAUAUAAACUUUUGUUAAUUAUAACUCUGUGAUUUUCCUUUUAAUACUUAAUACAAUAUGACAGUACUGGGUAGGCUGGAUGUCGAGAUGCCUCUUUUCCUUUUGUUUCAGUAAGCAUUUCUCCUAUGUAUUGUACAUAUAUACUGAUAAUGGCUGCUAGUUAGGUGGUAGCAGCUCUUGAGGUCAUGUAGAAUAAAUUUUUUUGACAGUUUGAGAAACGCAAAAGUGAAAAUGCUGCUGAAUCCAUUGUGAAAUCUCUUGAAUGAUGUUGGAGCUAUUAAAAAAGGUAAAUUUUGUUGCAGUAUUGGUAAGGUACAAUGACUGUAUUUCUUUGUUAGUGACAAUUUCAAACGGGGACAACAGCCAAGAUGUUAUUGAUGCUAGAGAGCUUUUGGAGGAUCUUAUGUUUAUAAAGGAGAGCUAUGCAGAUGGAAAAGGUUAAUUAUUUUGACCACUGAUCCAAUGUCUCAACUCAGGUGCUUUUUUCUUAUAUCCUUUUCUGGCUAAAUUAGCCUUAAUAAUAUUAUUAUUUUUUACUUCUUUAAGCGGACUCUUUCAUCUAGGAAAGAAUGGUUAUGACACAAUUUUGUUCCUGUUCCAAUAAUACUUCUGCAUGCAUAUUAUUUUUUGUGUGAUAAGGUUACUACUGUGCUUGAAUCAGCGAUUUAUUUGUUGCCUUUGUAUUGAGUUCAGAUGAAAUAUAAAUUGAUUUUUUAAAGUGCCAGAAUAGUUCUUUAUCGUCUUUUUUGGAACUUAAGACAGUCAAUUUGUUCGGAUGAUAUUGCAUGGCAACUAUGCGCUAUUAUUCUGUGCCUUAGUUUUAUGCCAGAUUAGAAAUGUUGUUUGAGUCCUCUGUCUUGUUAAGAUUCAGAAGCUCUUUUAGUACCUUGAGCUUAUAUUUGAGGAAGAGGUUGGCCAGGGUAUGAAAUUCCCAUCAAUGUGGAGUUCGAGGAGGGCUAACUAUUCCCAUGAGCAGAGUCUAACUCCAUAGUUGAAUUCUGUUCACCCAAGUCAUAUAAGAGCAAUCCUAGCAUCACACCAAUUAAAGAAUUUUCAGAAGAGCAGGGUCAUCAUGGAUGGCCACACAAGAAGUCAGGAUUAUAGUGUGCUUUGGUUCUCUCUGUUUGACUGUAUAUAUGCACAUUUUGGUGGAGCAUUGUCUAGAAAAGGAGUCUGAAUAAGAUUUAACAAUGUUGCUCCUAACUCUGUAAUCAUGCUAAGGUCUGUUUUAUUGGCAUUUUAUUGCCAAAACAUAUAUGAAACCAACAUAGACUCUUGAUUUCACAGCUAUACACAUUGUUUUUUUUUUACUUUAUUGUUAAUUUUGUAGCAUCAUUAGAAAAAUUGUCAUUAUUUUCUAACUGCAUCAAAUUUGAAGAAUGCUAUUAGAAAUGGAAGCUAUGAGUAGCAUCUUCUAUACUGAUUCAUUCCAUUUGUUGUUUUGAAUAUUUUGUACAAAUGUCUGUAGAUUAUUAUUUUGUGUUUAGUUGGUUUAUAUUUAAUUAAGUGAUAUACUAUUUCUUAAAUGAUGUAAACCAUAUUAAAUACUGUAUUAGCAACACAUACAUCCAGCUUAUAUUAAGGUGCUUUCAAAUAUUUAGUAAAAUUUUCAAAAUAUAAUCUCAUUUUCAGAUUUUUUUUGUUUGCAUAUUUUGAUUAUAAAAUGUGUCAAGAUACAGUCAAUUUUUUUAAAAAAUAAUAUUUAAUUAUAUUAUGGUGUGAAAAGUAUUAUAGGAAAUGACUCACUUUGGUUGUAUAUUUCUCUAAAAGUGGUAUAACUGGUCUGUAUUUUUUAAAUUGAUUUGUAUUAAAUAGUUGUUAUUUAGCAAUAUAUAUAUAUAUAAUUUGUAAAAAAUGAUUUCCUAAUUAAAUCAUUUUAGGUCUUGAAAAGUUUAAAAUAUCAUCUGCUGUUCAUUUAUAAUAAAAGAUUUAUGUGUUUUGAUUGAUUCACUUAUUCAACCAAUGAAUCAAUGAAGCAAGAAUCUACGAGUCCCUUGAGUUUGUCCCUAUGAUGAGAAAAGUCUACUCGAGUUGCUAUCGAUAGAAAAAAUUCAAGCUACGACUAUAAUUUGUAGAGUUUAGUUAGAUAAAAGCUAAAGAGAGCACCUUUCGUGAAGUAUUCGAAUAUUGAAAAUAAUAUAUAUCGUAUACUGAAAUUUAAUGGGUAAAAUAUGUUGCUUUUCCACAGAUAUAUAGAAUUUUCUUUAUUUUUGGAUCCCGCGUCUGAUGUAUGGGAUCCUCACAUGGAUUUCGUCGUCGUUGGGUCAACAUAAAUAAUUCUUGAUAUAUAUUUCUCUAUAUAUAUAUAUAUCAUAAUUCGAAAUUUAUAUUGAUAUUAUUUUUAUUUUUAUUUCCUAACAUUGAAGUAUUUGUGGAUGGCAGUUUGGCGAAUAUCGACAAGGUUUGGGUCAGUUUAUCAAAGGGAUCUUUAUAUAGUUGUUAGACUCACCGUUUCGGCUAGGGUUUAGGCUUGUGUCUUUUGGUUUCUUCCUCCCUCACCUGCCGCAGUUUUUGUUUCUUCGUUUCUCCGUCGGAUCUAAUUUCAUUUUCUGAAGAGCCAGAUUUUGAUCUUCACAUUCUAUCUUUGAUUCCAUUCUUGUUCUAAAAGUAAAGAAAAUUGUUUUUGUGGUUAUGGCAUACUUGUUUACGUAUUUAUCUAGACAUUUUAGGAUCCAUUUACAAAUGGAUUUCGUGAAUAGGUUCCACUAGAUUUGAUGUGGUUUUGAUUCUUUUCUCUCGCUUCUUAUACAUUUUCGUUGAUGUGGCUCUUGCUCUUCUUUUGUCAUAAAAAAUAAAGAAAAACAUGUUAUUUUGCUUGGUUAUUGCUUGAUUUGUUUGUGUGUUUAUCUACAAGUUUUGCGAUUCAUCACUCAAUGGAUUCUUCGAAUAAGUUUUAAUGGAUUCUGUUGAUGUGACUUUCGAUUCUUUUUGCUAAUAUCUUUUUUCCAUUUCUAUUGAUGCCCGAUGAUGGAAAAUCUAAUAAUCUUUAGAGGCUUGUGGGUUUUCAGUGUUGAGCAUCGACGCAUGCCGCUUCGUCACCUCAUUGUUUUUGUUGACGAUGAUCGUUAUCAUCAUCAUCAUCAUCAUCUCCUUCUUCUUCUUCUUCUCCUCUUUUUCCCUUUAUGCGUGCGUGCGAAGGUGCUCCAUAUGAAAAGCCAUACAUUGAGCCAGUGAAUGCAAAAAGCUAUGAGAUCUGAGGGCUAUUAAGCACCUAAAUGAUUUUUUUACAUUAGAAAAGAUUAUUUCUGGGAAAAUUGUAGUGCUGCCUGUUGUACUUUAAUUUCAGCAAGGUCUGCUUCUUUUUCAAGCAAACUGCUCUGAAAAUGACAGUAUGAUUUGUAAUAUGCGUUAGGCAGUCCGAUCAUGGCUUUACCUGUUCUCUCGUUUGUUUGUCUGAGGCAGCUUCUGGAUCGCUAUUGUAUCCCUUUGUUCUUAUCCUGUUACUAGCAUUGACGUCGGAUUGGUAAGAACAUGACUGCUCUGUUCCUCUUAUAACAUUCAUACUCUAUUUAGAUUCAUUUGCUUUAUCAACAACUUUAUUGUUUGGAGCCAUGACAUUUUAAUUGGUGUUAUUUUUAUAGUACUUGAUUAAUCAUAAGGUGAUUAAACUCACGACAGAUUAUGCAUCAGACAAUGUUGAUGUUCAAUUCUACAUUUAUGUUUGACACAUGGUCAUGCUUUAUAACAACUUUUUCUUGCUUGAAUGUUUUAUUAAUAUGCUUCUUGUUUAGCUCAGUAAAUCACUAUGAUCACUUUUGUGUAUGAAGUGCUCUAUGCAAACACUUCAAUCUUUGCUCUGUUAUCAGUGUCAAUAUUCAACCAUCAGUCUGCGCUAACCAAUGUCGUGAUACUAUGGGCCAAUUAGUGCCCCACUGUGUCAACAUUCAAGUAUGAUAAGGUUAGCUGAGUGAUUUAUGCUGUUCACUAGUUUGGUGAUGCAUGAUAUACCUGAAUUCAAUAGCAGUUUUAUGAAUGAUUAGUUGGUGUUUGUUGAUUAUUUACCAUGAUACUGUUUUUUUGUUUGUGCCAUGUUGGAAAUUUUACGAGGCCCAAUGAUGGAAACCAAUUAAUUUUGAGCUGCUACAUGGCUAUUUCUUUUGAGCAUUAUUCUACAUGCUUUCAUCUUGUCAUCACCACCACCACCACCAUCGUUGCCACCACCAUCUCCACCUCCCUGUCCAUCACUGCUGCCAUUACUAUCAUAAUCAUCAUCGCCAAUUCAUUGUCAUUUAUGCAUGUGAAAUGCUCAUCAAGAAAUACCAUGACUUGAGCUGCCAUGAACUUUUAUAGCUAUGAGAUCUGAGGGCCUCAACGAUGUUAGUGUUUGAAUUUUAUUAUAUAAGAAUCCUGAGUAUCCUAGCUGAAGAAUCCAUGGACCUUGUGGCACCUCUCUCUAUAGGGAGCCUUCUGGGGUCAUCACCAUGGAUGUCGCUAGAGUCUAAUGCGAGUAUUAGGAUCACUUUUCUAUUAUUUGCCCAAAGUCUUUGUAUAACUAUUACCUUGAAAUUUAUUAUGUUUUUUGGUGACAUUUAUGCAUGUAUUUGUUGCCAAUGUGUAUUUUUGUGACAUUUAUGCAUGGAUUUGAUGCCAAUGUGUUCUUUGUAAUGCUUCUCAGCUCCUAACAAAAUUCUCAACGUUUAAAACGCCCUUGGAAGGAAACGAAGUUGUGCAGAGCGACUUGAUCGUAUGGUUUUGAUGCUUGUUGGUUGUUCUUUCUUGCUUUUUUAGUGAUUCUGGUAGAUAUUGCUAAUAGAUCUUAUUGUAUUUGUACAUGACUGACAUGGUGAAUUUUAGAAAUCAAGAUGUCCAUGAAUGUCUUCAGUAACGUAAUUGUGUUCCACUACUAGUGCAAUAGCCUACUAUCGUAAUAGGAAAUGGAAGGAUAAAUUUUGUAUCACAACAGAGAAGAUUAUUGUUGAAUGUAGUGUUUAUGUACCAAUUUUUUUUUAAAUUUUUUUUUCAAGAACCAAAGUAAUUUGUUUGAGUAUGCAAAGAUUAAAAUAGAUUGUAAAGCUAUUUAACUGUUUGUGUCGUGCAAUUUAUAGGGUUCUCGUCUUAUGCAUGUGAAGGGGCUCAUUAUAAAAAGCCAUUUAUAAAUAAUUAAUUUUAAAUAGAUAAUAUUUGAAUAAUUAAUUUUAAAUGGUUAAUUUGAUCCUUCAAUGUUUAUGGAAGAUUUUUAAAUUUUUUUUAAACUCAUUUCAUUUAAUUUUUAAAUUACUUUACAUGAUCCUUAAGAAGGUCAAUUAAUGUUUUAUCAUGUUGAUUACAAGAGAGGAGUAUGCAAAGAUUUUAUUUUAAGGUCGAU
rnacentral:lncRNA from 1 species